rnacentral:rRNA from 1 species
GUUGUAUGGUUAAGUGACUAAGCGUACACGGUGGAUGCCUUGGCAGUCAGAGGCGAUGAAGGACGUAGUAACUUGCGAUAAGCGUAGAUUAGGUAGUAACAACCGUUGAGUCUACGAUUUCCGAAUGGGGAAACCCACUUGCAUAAGCAAGUAUCAUUAACUGAAUACAUAGGUUAAUGAGGCGAACCUGGGGAACUGAAACAUCUAAGUACCCAGAGGAAAAGAAAUCAACCGAGAUCCCCCUAGUAGCGGCGAGCGAACGGGGGUUAGCCCUUAAGCAUUUUAGAAGUUAGUGGAACAAGCUGGAAAGCUUGGCGAUACAGGGUGAUAGCCCCGUACACGAAAACGACUUUAGUGUGAAAUCGAGUAGGACGGGACACGUGAUAUCCUGUCUGAAUAUGGGGGGACCAUCCUCCAAGGCUAAAUACUCCUGACUGACCGAUAGUGAACCAGUACCGUGAGGGAAAGGCGAAAAGAACCCCUGUGAGGGGAGUGAAAUAGAACCUGAAACCGUGUACGUACAAGCAGUAGGAGCCCACUUGUUGGGUGACUGCGUACCUUUUGUAUAAUGGGUCAGCGACUUACAUUCUGUAGCGAGGUUAACCGAAUAGGGGAGCCGUAGCGAAAGCGAGUCUUAACUGGGCGUCGUAGUUGCAGGGUGUAGACCCGAAACCCGGUGAUCUAGCCAUGGGCAGGUUGAAGGUGCCGUAACAGGUACUGGAGGACCGAACUCACUAAUGUUGCAAAAUUAGGAGAUGACCUGUGGUUAGGGGUGAAAGGCCAAUCAAACCGGGAGAUAGCUGGUUCUCCUCGAAAGCUAUUUAGGUAGCGCCUCGUGUCUUACCAUUGGGGGUAGAGCACUGUUUGGACUAGGGGGUCAUCCCGACUUACCAACUCCAUGCAAACUCCGAAUACCAAUGAGUACAAUCACGGGAGACACACGGCGGGUGCUAACGUCCGUCGUGGAGAGGGAAACAACCCAGAUCGCCAGCUAAGGUCCCAAAGUACUAGCUAAGUGGGAAACGAUGUGGAAAGGCUUAGACAGCCAGGAUGUUGGCUUAGAAGCAGCCAUCAUUUAAAGAAAGCGUAAUAGCUCACUGGUCGAGUCGGUCUGCGCGGAAGAUGUAACGGGGCUAAGCUAGUCACCGAAGCUGCGAAUGCUUAUUUAUAAGCAUGGUAGAGGAGCGUUCUGUAAGCCGUUGAAGGUGGAUUGAGAAGUCUGCUGGAGGUAUCAGAAGUGCGAAUGCUGACAUGAGUAACGUUAAAGGGAGUGAAAAACUCCCUCGCCGGAAGACCAAGGGUUCCUGUCCAACGUUAAUCGGGGCAGGGUGAGUCGACCCCUAAGGCGAGGCCGAAAGGCGUAGUCGAUGGGAAACGGGUUAAUAUUCCCGUACCGCUAAUUACUGCGAUGGAGAGACGGAGAAGGCUAGGCUAGCGCGGCGAUGGUUGUCCGCGUUUAAGGUAGUAGGCUGUUCACUUAGGCAAAUCCGGGUGAACAUUAGGCUGAGAGCCGAUGACGAGGUGCUACGGCACUGAAGUAGUUGAUGCCAUGCUUCCAGGAAAAUCUUCUAAGCUUCAGGUAAUUAGAGAUCGUACCCCAAACCAACACUGGUGGUCAGGUAGAGAAUACCAAGGCGCUUGAGAGAACUCGGGUGAAGGAACUAGGCAAAAUGGUACCGUAACUUCGGGAGAAGGUACGCCGCUGACGGUGAUGGGACUUGCUCCCUAAGCUAUUGGCGGUCGCAGAUACCAGGUGGCUGCAACUGUUUAUCAAAAACACAGCACUGUGCAAACUCGUAAGAGGACGUAUACGGUGUGACGCCUGCCCGGUGCCGGAAGGUUAAUUGAUGGGGUUAGACUUCGGUCGAAGCUCUUGAUCGAAGCCCCGGUAAACGGCGGCCGUAACUAUAACGGUCCUAAGGUAGCGAAAUUCCUUGUCGGGUAAGUUCCGACCUGCACGAAUGGCGUAAUGAUGGCCACGCUGUCUCCACCCGAGACUCAGUGAAAUUGAAAUCGCAGUGAAGAUGCUGUGUACCCGCGGCUAGACGGAAAGACCCCGUGAACCUUUACUACAGCUUGGCACUGAACAUUGAACCUACAUGUGUAGGAUAGGUGGGAGACUAUGAAACUUUGACGCUAGUUGAAGUGGAGUCAAUCUUGAAAUACCACCCUUGUACGUUUGAUGUUCUAACGUAGGUCCCUUAUCGGGAUUGCGGACAGUGCCUGGUGGGUAGUUUGACUGGGGCGGUCUCCUCCCAAAGAGUAACGGAGGAGCACGAAGGUUGGCUAAUCACGGUUGGACAUCGUGAGGUUAGUGCAAAGGCAGAAGCCAGCUUAACUGCGAGACAGACACGUCGAGCAGGUACGAAAGUAGGUCUUAGUGAUCCGGUGGUUCUGAAUGGAAGGGCCAUCGCUCAACGGAUAAAAGGUACUCCGGGGAUAACAGGCUGAUACCGCCCAAGAGUUCAUAUCGACGGCGGUGUUUGGCACCUCGAUGUCGGCUCAUCACAUCCUGGGGCUGAAGUCGGUCCCAAGGGUAUGGCUGUUCGCCAUUUAAAGUGGUACGCGAGCUGGGUUCAGAACGUCGUGAGACAGUUCGGUCCCUAUCUGCCGUGGGCGUUUGAGAAUUGAGAGGGGCUGCUCCUAGUACGAGAGGACCGGAGUGGACGAACCUCUGGUGUUCCGGUUGUAUCGCCAGAUGCAUUGCCGGGUAGCUAAGUUCGGAAUCGAUAACCGCUGAAAGCAUCUAAGCGGGAAGCGAGCCUCGAGAUGAGUUCUCACUGGAACUAUAAGUUCCCUAAAGGGCCGUCGAAGACUACGACGUUGAUAGGCAGGGUGUGUAAGCGUUGUGAGGCGUUGAGCUAACCUGUACUAAUGACCCGUGAGGCUUAACCAUACAACACCCAAG